GGUUAUUCUUCUCCUGCUUGUUUGCUGAUUUUGUCUGCUUUUCCUUUUAACCGUUGGCUGUUUAUUCUCAAAUCCUUUUGCGAAGAGGAAGAAGCUAAGCAUGGCAGAGGUGGCAGCAGGAGCAUUUUUGUCCAGUUUGUUUCAGUUUCUGUUCGAGAGGAUGGAUUCUUUGGAGAUUGUUCAUUUCUUCAAGAGCCAAAAACUUCAUCAUGGAUUGUUGAAGAAGCUGAAGGUAACUAUGAUCACUGUUAAUGGGCUGCUCGUUCAAGCUGAAGAGAAGCAGAUUAUCAUGCCAGCCGUGAAAAGAUGGCUCAACGAGCUUAAAGAUGCUGUCUAUGAA
rnacentral:misc_RNA from 1 species